AAUAGUUUUAUGCCACAUCAGUACUCUUAUCCUGAAUUUCAGGAUUUUAUCCUGAAAAAAAUCAAAUCCAAAUUAAAAUACUAAAAUUCAGGAUAAAAGUACUGAUGUGGCAUAAAACUAUU
rfam:Gossypium hirsutum cultivar TM-1 chromosome 8, whole genome shotgun sequence